UACGGAGGGGGCGAGCGUUAUUCGGAAUUAUUGGGCGUAAAGGGCGCGUAGGCGGCUUGAUGUGUCAAAGGUGAAAUCCCUCGGCUCAACUGAGGAACUGCCUUUGAAACUGUCUGGCUUGAGGCCGGGAGAGGGUAGCGGAAUUCCCAGUGUAGCGGUGAAAUGCGUAGAUAUGGGAGGAACACCGGUGGCGAAGGCGGCUACCUGGACCGGUUCUGACGCUGAUGCGCGAAAGCGUGGGUAGCAAACAGG
rnacentral:rRNA from 1 species